ensembl:ncRNA C42D8.18 ncRNA
CGUCGAGUGGCCAAGUGCAAGUCCAGCUUUUGCUAAAGUUAUUAGAGAAAGAGAAAUCCAGUGACUGUCCACGCCCGCCCUUUCUUUUUCUCUCCCACACCCUAUGGAAAAGGAGAAGCGCUGCCCGGUUUUCG